rnacentral:rRNA from 1 species
UACAGGGGGGGCAAGCGUUGUCCGGAAUCAUUGGGCGUAAAGAGCGUGUAGGCGGUCCGGUAAGUCGGCUGUGAAAGUCCAGGGCUCAACCCUGGGAUGCCGGUCGAUACUGCCGGACUAGAGUUCGGAAGAGGCGAGUGGAAUUCCCGGUGUAGCGGUGAAAUGCGCAGAUAUCAGGAAGAACACCCGUGGCGAAGGCGGCUCUCUGGGACGGUACUGACGCUGAGACGCGAAAGCUAGGGGAGCAAACGGG